AUUGAACGCUGGCGGCAUGCUUUACACAUGCAAGUCGAACGGCAGCGCGGGCUUCGGCCUGGCGGCGAGUGGCGAACGGGUGAGUAAUGCAUCGGAACGUGCCCAGUAGUGGGGGAUAGCCCGGCGAAAGCCGGAUUAAUACCGCAUACGACCUGAGGGUGAAAGCGGGGGACCGAAAGGCCUCGCGCAAUUGGAGCGGCCGAUGUCGGAUUAGCUAGUUGGUGGGGUAAAGGCUUACCAAGGCGACGAUCCGUAGCUGGUCUGAGAGGAUGACCAGCCACACUGGGACUGAGACACGGCCCAGACUCCUACGGGAGGCAGCAGUGGGGAAUUUUGGACAAUGGGGGCAACCCUGAUCCAGCCAUGCCGCGUGCGGGAAGAAGGCCUUCGGGUUGUAAACCGCUUUUGUUCGGGAAGAAAUCCUCUGGGCUAAUACCCCGGGGGGAUGACGGUACCGGAAGAAUAAGCACCGGCUAACUACGUG
rnacentral:rRNA from 1 species